GAUGAAGAACGCAGCGAAAUGCGAUACGUAAUGUGAAUUGCAAAUUCAGUGAAUCAUCGAGUCUUUGAACGCACAUUGCGCCCCCUGGUAUUCCGGGGGGCAUGCCUGUCCGAGCGUCAUUGCUGCCCUCAAGCACGGCUUGUGUGUUGGGCCCCGUCCUCCGAUCCCGGGGGACGGGCCCGAAAGGCAGCGGCGGCACCGCGUCCGGUCCUCGAGCGUAUGGGGCUUUGUCACCCGCUCUGUAGGCCCGGCCGGCGCUUGCCGAUCAACCCAAAUUUUUUAUCCAGGUUGACCUCGGAUCAGGUAGGGAUACCCGCUGAACUUAAGCAUACAAUAAGCGGAGGA
rnacentral:misc_RNA from 1 species